UGGGGAAUAUUGGACAAUGGGCGAAAGCCUGAUCCAGCGAUGCCGCGUGUGUGAAGAAGGCCUACGGGUUGUAAAGCACUUUCGGUAGGGAAGAAGUAAUUAUGGCUAAUACCCAUAAUUAUUGACGUUACUUACAGAAGAAGCACCGGCUAACUCUGUGCCAGCAGCCGCGGUAAUACAGAGGGUGCAAGCGUUAAUCGGAAUUACUGGGCGUAAAGGGUGUGUAGGUGGUUAUUUAAGUCAGGUGUGAAAACCCCAAGCUUAACUUGGGACGUGCGCUUGAUACUGAAUGGCUAGAGUGUAGUAGAGGGUAGCGGAAUUUCCAGUGUAGCGGUGAAAUGCGUAGAUAUUGGAAGGAACAUCAGUGGCGAAGGCGGCUACCUGGACUAAGACUGACACUGAGACACGAAAGCGUGGGUAGCAAACA
rnacentral:rRNA from 1 species